AUCCAGUUGACGAAUCUCAUACUAGGACGAAACGCAUGUCCUGGAU
rnacentral:hammerhead_ribozyme from 1 species